rnacentral:misc_RNA from 1 species
UCGGACUACAAGGGUUUCUAAUCCUGUUCGAUCCCCACACUUUCGUGCCUCAGCGUCAGUUGUUGGCCAGUACAAUGCCUUCGCUAUCGGUGUUCCUGAUGGUAUCUAUGCAUUUCACCGCUACACCAUCAAUUCCAUGUACCCCUCCAACACUCAAGCUAAACAGUAUCAACGGCACUGCUCCGGUUAAGCCGAAGUCUUUCACCGCUGACUUAUUCAGCCGCCUACGCACCCUUUAAACCCAAUAAAUCCGGACAACGCUUGCACCCUCCGUAUUACCGCGGCUGCUGGCAC